GACACAACCACCUGUACAUUUGAGAGGAACCUCUCACUGUAUGUUCCUUUUCUAAUCCACUGUCAGUUAUUUCCCAGAAUUAUUCUGCAGGUGAGUGAGCUGGGGGUGGCCGUGUCUGUGUCUGUGAGAGAGAUCAAAUACUCUGGUUAGUUCCCUUACAACUGCUAGAUUGUCAUCCACCCCUUUUGUCUGAAAUGAGGUGGGCUUUCUCAGACGUUAUCUCUGUUCUGUUCUAUAAUGUCUGUGUAUGGAGAGGAAAAUAUUUUUCCCCUCCCCAGCAGCCAUGUGAAAAGAUACCAGUAAACUGGUAACACAAACUGCAACAAUCCCAACAUACAGCAAAAUAUGUAUCUGGUGUACAGGCUCCCAGCUGCAGUCCAUAGACUUCUUUGUGUUCAUCUCUAGAGAGCUCUAUGAUCACAUAACGCUGGUUCCUCCUCACUACCAUCUAUUAAAUUUCAGUAAUACAGCUAAGAAUGAAAUUCUCUCUCAGGUAUUAUUUUUCCAUGUAAGCAGUUGCUACAGAGAUGUGAUGUGAUUGCAGAUGCGAGGAGGAGGAGAUGGUCAAUGCUAUUGGGAACGGGAGAGGGGUUGUAGUCCAUGAGACCACACAGUGAAAAUGUUUGAGAACCGCCUGAUCCAACAGUCUAUUUACAACAUUAAAAUCAAAUAGAAGCCACAGUCUAGUUUCCAUUUUAAGGAGUGAGGAUUCAUUAACAGAAAAGCUGCAAGGACAUACAUAAAUUCUCUUUCCAGUGAUUCUAUUUGUAUCAGCUUUAUGAGGGCACAAAAAUGUGAAUUCAUUAAAUUCUCCAAGCAGUCAAGAAACCAGGAAUGCUUCAUUAGAAGUAUUUUCCCAGCUACUGGUUAGAGUGCCUGGAUAUUUGAGCAAGGACAUAGCACCAUAAGUAAAGUACCACAGCUUCUUGUAAAAUGAAAAGUCAACGUGACACUUCAAGCUGGAUCAAGUACUUUGGCACAGGAACCAAACUAGUUGUUUCGGACAUACAAGCAAAACUUGAUCCCAGCAAGAUGCAGGUCCUGCCUCCUUCUACUGAACAAGAUGGGAAAGUAACACACAUAUGCCUCAUUGAGGAUUUUUACCCAAAUGUUAUUAAGGUGACUUGGGAAGACGGCACGAAGAGUGCAGAGGAAAAUGCAGUGCAGGAGGAAAUUUGGCCCCCUGGUGACAAUCAACCUUCAUACUCAAUAAGCAGCUGGCUGGCCGUAGAUAAAAAUAGCAACAAGAAUUAUCGCUGCAAAUAUCAACAUGAAAGCAAAGAAGGUUUUGUCCCUAUCGAAUCUCCAGAUAUUACAGACAGUUUCAUGCACAGGACGGCGUAUUUAAUAUACAUUGUCCUACUCCUGAAAAGCACCAUGUAUUACGUCAUCGUACUCUUCUUCGUAUACAGGAUGCAAAGUCCAAUCAAGCACCGGGGAAAGAAACCUUAAACUUCUCCUUACAACUUCCAACGUCAGCAUUUGUGUCUGAAAUUUGCUUUGCUUUGCCAUAAGCCUGUUCAUAUGAAACACCUUGCUCUAAAUAUUAAGACAUGCAUUUCAAUUUGAUUUGGUUGGCUAUUUCUCUAAUUAGCGCAGAUGGCUUCUUCUGCUUGAGAGCAAACAGUUUUAUAUGUGACCAUAUUUCCUAUUUUAUUAUUUUAAUUUUGUAACUGUGGAACUUCAAGGGCUGAGGCUACACUCUUGAUUUCAACAGGAAUUUUGCAUCACAAAGUAGUGCAGAACCAGUCUCUUAGGCCCUUAUCCUGCAAAAACACAAAGAACUUUUUGGUUGUGGAAAGGCCAACUGCAUUCAGUGAAGUCAAUGGGAAAACUCGUCCCAUAAAUAUUUGCAGGUGUGGAGUCCUAAUCUAGAAUUUAAAAAUAUUUUCAUUUCUUUCUACUAAUUACACUUAGUUGCUUAAAAACAAAAACAGGCUUCUGAAAUAUGACUAAUUUUUUUAACUGAAACAUUAAUGGAUUUUAAAUAAAAUUCAGCAUUGCAGAGUUCUGUACAUUA